ACCUGGCAUUAUAUGACAGUGUGAUAUGUGUGUUAUUAUCAUGUAGACCAUUCUAUUACGAUGCUCUGAUUUCGGCAAUGGGGUCGCUAUUACCUUCCCUGCUAGCAGAGGCCUCUUUUCUCUGUAUUUCGCUGGACUGACAGAGAAAAGGGGCCUCUGCUAGCAGGGAAGCUAUUACCAUUCCGGCUACUAUUCUAACUGCUUGGCAAUCAAUCCUCGAAGUGUAAGCUCCGACGAGUAGGAGGGCGUGGGGGUCGUGACGCAGCCUCUGGCGCGAGCCUGGGUGAAACGGCCUCCAGUGCAGAUCUUGGUGGUAGUAGCAAAUAUUCAAAUGAGAGCUUUGAAGACCGAAGUGGAGAAAGGUUCCAUGUGAACAGCAGUUGGACAUGGGUUAGUCGAUCCUAAGAGAUAGACAUAGAUUCUUUGUAAACGUGAACCGACUUUUUCCCUGCCGCCAAUUUCAAUGUUAAUAAGAAUAAAAUAUAUCUCAUUUACACACCAUGUUAAAUCGCUAAUUUAUAAAGACUUAGUAUUACUGCUAUUCUACUCAACAUCAAGAAACCAAACCUCUUAUAGCUC
rnacentral:ncRNA from 1 species